AAGCCCAAGCUCUAAGUUUUGAAUGAACACAACAUUAGACAAAAUCACCCCACUCCAAAAAAGUAGCUCAUUGAUCCUGAUAGAAUGGCUGUAGAGACUCACUGUUGCAGGGUGACCUGGAGGAGGCCAUCAGCUUCUCUGCGCCUCUGUGUCCAGCAGCCACCUGAGAAAAUGUGCUUCAAGAAGGACUCAGGGAGGAGUGCUGUUGUGCAAGGGCCAUGUGAUUGAACCAUCUCCUGUCAAUGUAGGGAAAGUCCUCUUAGCUCUGACUGAUCAGCAAAAAUUUGGGGCCACCUACAAGUCAGACCCUGCCUUGGGGCCUGGGGACACAGUGAUGAACAAGGAAACACGGGCUAAGUCUCUCCGGGGACUAAGAAUUUUGGCCUUCGCAUCUCUUGCAGAGUAUCUCCUCCAAGUGAGCUGAGAGAGAUUUGUGGCAGCUUUGCAUCCUGUCUGCAUCCAGCAGGGUGAGGGUUUGCCCCUUCACAGAAGCAGAUUGGGCAUGAAGUCCUCUUGUGCAAAAACAGCCUCCAGGCCUCCUUCCAGACAAGCUCUGUUAGGGGCACCCCCCGGGACUGGCAGCCACCUGCCCAGGGCUAGUGAGAGGAUGCCUCUAACAGCUCCAAAUUAUAAUAUACGUAGUAUGCUCCUUUCCUUCCACAAACUACGUGGAGAUUCCUUUCUGGUUUCUUCUUUUCUUUUCUUUUCUUCUCCGUGUUCUUAAAAAACAAAAUGUCACUGUAAAACAGGGUAUAAUGCAGCUUCUUUUAAAGCAAGAAGGGCUCCAGGUGCUCACUGCUAAUUUCACAUUUCUGAAAAACCCCAGUCCCAAGACACAAAGUAGGGGGGAGGGGGCGGGGCUGAUGGCCUUGGAGGGAGGGGCUUUCCAGCGAGAGAGAGAAAUAGUCACAUGAACCUCUGUCCAGGCACUUGGACACUGGACAACACAGCAAAACCAGAAGUGGGGAGAUUCCUGCUGAAAAGGUCACGGCCAACAGCUCCCAAAGGCUGCACACCAGCACCAGAGUCCCAACUCUGCAUUUGCUCCAUUUCAAACUGGGCCUCAAGGAGACCCAGGUGACAGAGACAUUUGACUAGAGAGGUGGGGAAAGGGCCACCUGCAUCCCCAGGCUUCCAUCCCUGAUUCAAGUGCCAGGGACUUCAACUCUUCAGCAAAGAGCCUCUCUCAAUUCUCAAUCCACAGCUGAGUACUUUACAGUCUCAGUUUUCUCUUCUGUAAAAUGAUAUAAUCAUAGGAUCCAUCUCAAAGAAAUGCAAUGAGAAUUAAAUGACAUAAAACAUUUAAAGUGCAGAAAAGAACAGUAUUACUGUCUCUCAGCAGGAACUGGUGAGCUCUUUCAGAAUGGCUCUUAAAUGCUUCCAAGUUUUGAAAGCACACUGACCUUCCAAAAUAUGACUUCCUGAGAACAUUUUCACCCAAGUAAUGGGGUCAGCAAGGCAGAAGCCAGGUAAAAAAACCCUCCCUCCUCAGCCAGAGCUGAGCAGGUGUGGCCUUGGGUAACCUGCAAAACCGAAUUUGCGGUUCAGCCUGUGAGCCAAAUUCCUGCUUCUUUCCGGGUGAAGAGGUUCCUUCCUGGGCCCUCCGCUGCUUAUUUGCCCAAGACGAACGCACACAGGCUGCGAACUUUCCUCAUGGGGGUCCCUGGCCUUCAGGACAAGGGCUGCCCUGCCUCAAGCCUUCUCUUGCUGGAGAAGAUGGCAUCGGACAGCAAGCUGCUUCUGACCCUGCCAUGAACCAAAACCGCCUCCUGGAGCUCUGAGGGGAACCUGGACUUGGGUGGGUUCCCACUCCCCUCUCCUCCUGGGGCCUGCAGAGACCUCAAGAGCCCUAGUGCUCUGGUUCAGCUGGGCUGCACCACCCUGCUCCCACCCCUGCAGCACGGAGCUGUGAGGCCCCUGGCCUGCCCCCGAGCGUGCCCUCCGCCAGGAUCUUCAGCCGGGGUGUCCUGGGGACCAGGGCGGGGUCAGUGGAGGGGAGCCAGACGGCAGGUGCCGCGCCCAGGGAGCGUGAGUCAGGGCUAGCUGGGAGGGAGGGGCAGACGUGGAGGAGCCCUGGGGCAGCAGAAAGGGGUGGAGAGAUGGAAACCUGCGCUGCCCAGUUCCUCUCUGUAGCUCUGGGCCCAGUCGGGGACCCUGAAGAAAGUCGCUCUGACAGAACGUCCAGAGCUCUUCCACCUUCUCUUUAUAUCCUUGUUGGAAAACUGUGGCCUCUUGAAGCCCACCUGUGCCGGAGAAUUUUGCAACUUGCCAGUGGCUUUUGUCACCUGUGGAAAACUACACAGGUCAACUAACAAACCAGCUUGCCUAUCAGGAGGUUGGAGCCAGGAAGACUGCAGGCCUGGGGUGGGGAAAUCCUAUCUUGUAUGGCUUCCUUCCUUCCUCCCUCUGACUGGGUCACCCAGGGAUGGGGAGGCCUUCCUGGACCUGGCACCCAGGCUGCUGGGCUCCCAGCCACGUGUCCAGAGGACACCCUUCCUGCCACCUGGGUCCUUCUCAUCUUCCUGGGACACAGGGAAUGUGAGGCGCCAGCUCUGGAGACUUAGUGGGAAACACCUGCAUCUCCAGGGCCUCGAAACAGCCUGCUCUAGCCUGGCUUUCUGGGAGAAGCUGGGGGAGAACACUGGUUAGGAGCCUUCCAGUCUGGCUUCGUACCACAUCAAGUAUGUCCUGCUGGCGGGGCUCUUCCCAGCAAGGACUGAACAAGAGGCUCUAUGUGAAGGCGCCAGCACACAGCAGGUGCCCACGGACAUUCUUCCUCGAGGCCCCGGGCCCAGCAAAGGCUUAUAGUCAUCAGUAUCAAUCCAACCGGAGAGUGUCUGCACCUGAGCUUUAAUAGGGACUUAAGUUUAAAAUCUGGAUACGCUUGUGGAAUGCUGCUUGAUUUGUUUAAACAAACGCGGCCCAUUUUCUCCGACUCUCAGCCGAUUUUGGAGGGUUGUGGGACCUCCUUUAUAUGCAGAAAGCAGGUCUGUCUUCUUUCGUUUCCUGAUGGUCUCCCCAUCCCUACCCAAUAAGCACACCAACCAAGCCCAGAGUCAGGCCAGUUCCCAAGGUGCAAGAAUAAAGAGAAAGGUCAGAGACCGAGUCUCCACCCCCCUCCCCUGAAGUUGGUCAGCUGCCGCUGCCCCCAGCGUCUGCCCUGCCAACCGUCACGCAGUCAGGGCCUGCAUGGAGCUGGUGCCUGGUGCCUCUCCCCCGGGUGCAGCUCAGGUGCAGGAGCGCUGUGGGAAUUUUCCAUCUGACUCUGCAGCCUGCCUGGCUCCUCCUCAGAUCAUUAUCCUGCCACCGACAAGCUUGCUGGGCUGGGCAAGCUUUCCUGCAGGUCAGCGCGGGCAGUAGCACCCCUGCCUGGACGUGCUCAGGCCGGGCUUCCCCUCUGCAGCUCGAAAGGACAGAGGAGGGAGUCAGGGCCCCAGAUACCCCUCAGCCCAACCUCAGGCCAAGGCCUUGUUUUCCCCGGCUGCCUGCAGCCUCAGAUUCUGCCUCUGCCCAGGCCUGUUUCCUCCUGGCCUCCUGCUCUCCUGUUUCCUUCAGCUUUCCCUCUGGGCGGCUCCCAGCUCUUCCAAAAACCCCCUCCAGGAAAUUUGCUUGUUGUCACAAAAUAAUGCAAAUGUGCUCCUGUGGCUGCCCGCUGAGCACAGCGGUCUCUGUCUCCCAGAGACCCGGGGAGGAAGGAACAGCACCCCUCGGUGCCCCCUCUCCAGCUGACAACAACAGGCCGCAGCCGCAGCAGGGCCUCGGGGCCAGACAAAGCCUUGGCACGUUGUCUAAGGGAACCAAGUUCAACCCAGAGAAAGGCCACACAAGACCCUCAGACACUCCCAGGCCCUUUUUUUUUUUUCUGUUUAAUAUAUAAAAAUGGUUUGGAUAAAGUUUGUGUUUGUGUUUAGCAUUUGUUUAUCUCUGUUUAUCUAAUUCAAACUCCUUGUCCUGUCUGGAGCAGAAAGGGAGGACACAGGGACAAACACCUCCAAGGCCCACAGUCCUGGGGAGUGAUGAAUGCGGGGACAGAGGAGGGCAGCUGAUCCUGUCUGUACAGCGUCUGGGAGCUGGGCCCUGACCUACGUCCCGCGGUCACAGCGGCCUGAUGCCCUGCACCCCCAGUGGCAUAGGGCAGGAGGCCGGGGUGAGGGCUGCCACCUCCAGAGGAGAAUGGGGUGGGGUAGGGCAGCGUGAAGUGUCCGAGGCAGAAUGCAGUGACGACAAAAACCUCUCAGCUCUUCCCACCCCUCUCCUCACCAUCACGCAGGGUCCUGGGGCUGAGGGGCUGAGGAGAAUGUGACCCGUCCCGGCUCUCCUCUUGUCUUGCAGCCGCUGCCUCCAUGAUGGGGCCAUGAUUGUCCGGGAGAGGAAUGGAGGCUCAGAGGGACUACCGAAGUCACACAAGUGUUCAUGACCUUGCAUCUCCUGCUCUGCUUCCCCACGGGGAAACGAACCACCACUGUGACUUAAGGGCCUUCCAGUCCUCUGGGCUUCCGGCUUGCUGUCCCCUCUCAGGAGACGACCUGAUCCUUCACCCCUGGCUCUGCCGUGACGCCAGCACAUGUCUCCUGGGCCCAGUACCCUCCCUGGUGGCCUGUGUUCCAGAUGUGACAAACCAGGGACAUAAGACAGCAUACUUCUGGAAAGGAAAUUCUUCAAAAGGGGUGAUCAACAUACACCUACGCAGAAAAUCCUGGGAAUUCUCUGCUGUCCGGUGGCUGUUCCCUCCUGCAUGCUGUAGUGGACAUGUGAGCAGACACCUUCUUUAGGCUACUGGAUCCCUCAUUAGUCUCCCCUGGACACAUCCAGCCCCCAUAAGCUCAUCCUCCAUGGUUGUAGGUAACCAAGGUGAGCUGGCUCUCUCCGUGGGGAGAUGGGGGCAGGUUUAUACAGGCCCUUUAUUCUUUUCUGGCAGAGUCUUCAGUAUUUGGCAAGACUUCCCAGGUCUUUUUCGUGACUGGAGUUGCACUUUGCAUUGAAAGUUGGCUGGUGGCCAGAGCCUCUUCUAGCCUGGAGAGUCCCUGCAUCCAUCUCUGGGCCUGAGGGAAACUUUGAGCCCCAAAGUAGAGGUCUCAUGGAGCUAAUGACAUAGAUUGUCACAUGUCCCUUAUCAAUCCUGGAAAACCGCUCUGGGAACUAAGCUCCUGGAGGAGAGAUCUUGAGAGGAGGACUUCUGAGGGGAUGGAAGGGAUAGAGAGUAGAAAGUCAUUUUCUAGGCAUAAUUUUACCAGAAGUCAAUACUUUUUAAUUUGCAUUUCCUCUCAUUAUCAAAGUAAACACACACACACACACACACACACACACACACACACACACACACACAAUUGCAGUUAUGCAAUAGUUUAUGCAGUUGCUGUGAGCCCGAAAGCACUUGUGCAGCUGUGUGAGUCGGCACAUCCCUGGCUUCCCGCACUCGGGGCAACAGGAGGCACUGGGAAUUUCUCAAAUGUUCACAAGAAUGUCGAGAGGGAGUUCUGAGUAAUCACAAUUACUUGAACUUCUUGUGGGAAAAUAAAGGCCCAAUUUCCUUUUAGAGAUAACUGUCUUUGAAAGCUGUUUGCCAUGAGAGUUUUUGUUUAUGGUGCAGAGAAUGGUAAAAACGCACUUCUGUGGAAGGUCCCAGCAAGUAAAAAAUCCCGCCAUGGGGAUGUCCUGGCCCCAAGCACGGAGCAAACUUGAAUUCUCCAGCUGGGCACCAAUGCCCUGCUGUAUUUCAUUUUUUUUUUUUUUUUUUUUUUUUGCGGUACGCGGGCC